CUUAUCUGUCCUAUUGAUUUUUAUGCUUUAAAGCUGAGCGAAAUGACAUGUUCUCAUGCCAGCUACACCUUUGCAGUAAACACUAUGCACUGCUUCUGAAAUUCAAACAAAUUAAAAAAAAAAAUAAUGAAAAAAUAAUAAGAGGUGCCUCAAGUAUCAAUCUCUUUUACAGAGAAUGCGUGGAGUGAGGAAAUCUGGCUUCUGUGAUUUAGGUCAACUCUAGCAGAGUCACCCCAAGAUAGUGUGUGAAGUGUGGCAUUAGAGCGUAUUAUCGUGCUGAAAGAGGCCAUCUGGAAAUACCAUUGCCAGUAAGCGGUGUACCUGUUCCACAAUGAUGUUUAGGAGUCAGAGUUUUACAUGGUGAUACUUCACACUUUCCCACAAUGGCAAAAACAGCAGUCUUCUGUCGCAGCAGGUGUUGAAUACAAUGCAGCCUGAGUCAGAUGAGCAGGUGAAGCUUCUUGACGCAGAUAGACAGUACACACCCACACAUAAACGUGACUAAAAGAGUACACAGUGGUGGUACUGCUCGGUUCACGCUGGCUCUGAAAACAAGCAGGCCUGAAGCCCUUCUCCUGUGACUCAUUCAUUAGGCUGAUGACCUCAGUGUGAGGACUUGGCUGGGGGAAGUGUUUAUCCACAGCAGCCUGACAGAGCAGAGCAGAGAGGAGCGGAGAGGAGCAGACCACUGCCCUGAACCACCACCCACCGCUGCGUGGAGGCAGGGCCUGAGCUGAAGAGACCCUUCAGAAUUUCCAACUCGCACUCAGUGCUGUCUGAAACAUGUUGCAAUCGCCUCUGAAUCGUGCACUUUUAUCAGCGCUGGUGAUGUGUAAGCAUGACUAAUAGGAUAUUCUAGCUUGAUCUGGUUUGAACUGACACUGGUUUGAAAGUUUAUUGUUUUGUAGAGUGAGAUAAACCGCAGUUUGUGUCAGAGUUCUCUCUCUGGAGCUCUGGGUGUUUGUGCUGUACUGUCCUCUCAAGUUUUCACCAUAAAAGACAGAUCAACCUCCAAUUUUAAGGAACGUGCCUGAGAAAGCAAGAGAAAUCAUUACCAAAUAAGCUCCCCCUGAUUCAUCACUUUCAUGGUACAUUUCUAUUCACAGUGGAGAUGGAAGGAAAUGGUUACUUAUUGCAGAAAAUGACCACAGCUGACCUGUGAAGUCAUGGUUACUCUGUGUAAUCUGUUGCUACCAUCUCCGCCCUAGCCUUGAUACAUAUGUAUCCUCUAUUGCACGCGUGAGGCACUGGGCCCUCUGAUUCAGCACAGUUUGCUGAAUUCCCUGCCAUGACACAACAACUAAACCUGGGAAUUAACUGAUGAAUCGGGCGUGUUUGAACAGGAAAAUCACCAAUCAAUACAGCCCCCCAGGACCAGAGUUCCCCACCCUUGGCUUUUUGUAUAGAUUCCUUCUCUGUUUUCCCAUGAAGAUUUACCCGACAACCACCGCAGAAUUUUGUUUUCUUCUUAACUGUCAGCUUGGAAGGGUUUAGGCUUCUCGCAUAAUUAAAAUGAAAUCAAAUGCAAACUCAAAAAAGAGGUUUUCGGCCUGCUGCUAUGUUAACCCCUUAAAAUCCCUGGCUUAUUACAUACUAAGGCUUAUUAUUCAGUAACAGGGACUUCAGUGCAAACUGGCUGAACUAUUCUUAAGUUGUAGAAGUGUGUAACAAAACUUUGGGCCUGCUGGUGGGCCCUGACCAUUUAAGGGGUUAAGAAAGAAAGGCCCUUUUCAUCAUCACACUGACAGUCAUAUGCUUCACCCCCUAAAUAUCCAGGCAUAUUAUUCAAAAACAAUGCAAACUGCCUUUAGAGUUAUUCUUACAUUAUAGGAGUGAGAGCCUCAGACCUGCUGAACUGUCCUGGGAAAUAAAGGGGUUUAAGUUCUCAGUCAAGUCUUUUGGCCUGUAGUCAAAACCACCUUUGUUGAGUCCAAGAUAACUUGAUGACAAGUCGAGAUUGUGACAAGACAGAGUCUAAAGGAGGCUGAAACCAAAUGAGAGCAAGACUAAGUCAAGAUCGAGACCCAAAGAAAUGAAACUUCUUAGAGGUCAAGUUUUAAGUAGCCUUAAACACCUCCUGGUCUAAAUUUCUAGUUUUUUUGUUUGUUUGUUUUUUCAAAUUGUUCGGAUAAAUCAUUUUAAAGUGAGCUAUAACCCUAUAGAUUCACUUUGAACAACAGAAAUAGCGCUUAGAAUUCUAAAGUCAUCCGUUUUAAUUUUGCUAUACUGUUUAAACGACAUUAUAUUGUUACAUACUUAAUUACACAGAUUACAUGGAAUUUCUAUUCAGUGUUGUCAGAUUUGUGUGUGCACUUCUGACAUUUUUUCCAUUUGUUUCAAUGCCAAGACACAAACAUGGUAAAAAAUUAAAUUAGGUUUUUUUUUUCCCGCAACAAACAGAACACAUUGUUCACAUUGAAAUCAUAACAUCUUCUCUUUUAUUGACCAGCACAAAUGUGGCUCCAACAGUACAUUUCUAGGUUUAGUCAUAUGUGGGGAAGUUUUCCUUCAUUGCUCAUUCAAUGCUAAAUCAUUGCUAACAAAUGGAGUGGUUUUGAGCUGCAUGAGUGGGAGACCAAGAGAAGAGUACAAUAACUAUUCAGUCCAAGUCAAGAACAAAACAAAAGGAAGAAACAUUCCAAGUCCAAGAGUCGAGUACUACAGCACUACAUAUCAAUAUGCCAGCAGCUCAGACGAGAAGGGGGACACGAUCACAAAACAAAACAUCUAUGGAACAAACUUCCUGACUGUGGACUGUGUUGACUGUGUUGAAUAAGUGAUUUUAUUGUGCAAGUGUUAUAACAGUCUUGCUAGAUAAACAAGAGGAGGUUUUGCAUAAAGGUAUGGCUGAAAGAGAUAAACACUAUAUCAGUCUGACUUUGUCCUUCAUGUUUUUAAAUGUGUCCAGACAACUGUGACCAUUUAUUCUGAAUUCAUACAGAAUGUAAAAGUCUUCUAAAAAUGCCCACUAUCCUAAAUCAUAACCCACAUAUGGUGAUUAGGGAAAAUAAACCUAAUCACCACAUGUGUGAUAUGUAUCAAGUGGUUCAUACUUCCUUUAUGGCCCAGCUGACUAUGAUCUGAUGAUUUUAUUUUAGGUUCAGUUUUUGAGUGCUUCCUGCAGUGAUGAACGAAGCUGCGCUUUGUUGGCGAAGUUGCUGUUUGUGAACUGUUAAGUUGCUCAUAUCCUGUCAUUGUGUGAAAUGGGCAUUUUCCCCUUUGGAAAAAUACAAGCGACCUCUCCUUUUAUACUGUUGGCUACAAUGAGUAACACUUUAUUCAAGAGCUACCAACAUAGUGACUUCACAACACAUGCAGAAGCACUGGAUAAUGUAUUUUAAAACAAUUUAUGAACAGCUUAUAUCAGUAAUGACAAGAUGACCAGAGAUUAGAUGUUUUAUAAAACAAACAGCACUAUAUUGAUAUAAGGGAAUAUAUGUAUACCCAUGUUAUUGGUCAACUAUGUUAUGUAAUAAUGCUUUUCUUAUAGCAUUACAGAAGGUAUAUCAUGACACCCCUCAGUUAUGAAGAAGUAAAUGUAAUGAAACAAAAUGUAAUGAAAUUACAGAGGCCUACUUUAGAGCACUUACACUGUAAAAAAAAAUAAUAAGUUAGUUGCCUGGCUAACAUUAUGCUCUGUCUGACUUAUUAUUUCUCGUUUCGCAUUGCUGUGUGUCUGCACUCUGUGUGAUGUGCUGCUGUUGGGUGUUGCACCAUGGGGAACAUAUCAUUCUUAUGUAUACUGGUUAUACUGAAGAAUGACAAUAAAGACCACUCGACUUGAAUUUCAUUUAAAUCAUAUUGAAUCAAAUUAAAGGCAGCAUGGUUACUCUAAGUUAAAGCUAAGCUUUUUUUUAACAGUGCAUGCUUUUUUAACUGAAAUUUGAAAUUUUUAUUUCUUCCAUCACUGUGCUGGAAAUAUCUCACUUGGACAGUUGACAUACAGCGGACCCAAAAGAGUCCACUAGAGAAAAUGCUUGUAUUUUUCUUUACACAUGAUGUGAUCAGCAUAACAACUUGAUUGAAAAAUAGAAAUUUACAAUUUCAGAAUUUCUUAGUAUUUGGUAGAGCGUGUCCCUCUUUUUGUUUUAAUGACAGCGUGCACUCAAGCUGGACUCCACAAGUUUUAAAGCAAAGGCCUCUGAUGAGAAGAUCAAAUCCACCCAAGAGUCAUCUGAACACGAAAUUCACUGGAAGAGAUAAGACUCAAAAAAACAAUGUGAGCUUUUUGUACAAACGCCUUAACAUGGUCAACACUACAAAUUUGAAUCGUGACCUAGAAACAGUGCAGAAUCUUGAAUAUUUGUUCACUUUAUAAUUCACAACUCUUUUUGUUUUAAAAUGUUCAAACUUUUAAAACUUCAACUUUCCAAGCUGAAAUGGAAUAAAUUCCAGAUUUCUGUGUGGUCUCAGACUUUUGAACACCACUGUAAUUUUUAAAUACAGAAUCAAUUAGUAUGUACUUUAAUGGUGUUUUGUCAUUGGAAAGGAUGGGUAUGAUCAAAUUGACAAUUCUGCACUGCAUCUACUGUUGAAUGUUUCUACAGUUUUAUGUCACAUCACUGCUUUUAUUUUCUUCACUGUUAUUUGCUGCUUUUUGGUAUACUUCUCAUUAUGCAAGCAUAUAUGAAUACUGGCCAGUAUGAACUUUUGUAACCUAGAAAUAAAAGUGAACCAUUUGAAA